rnacentral:lncRNA from 1 species
GGGGACAUUUGUGUUUGUUGCAUUAUUCUUUGUUCCUGUAUAUAUAUCUUAUUUUAUAAGAAGGAUUCAAAACAUUAAAAUUAAAGGCAAACUAGCACUCAAAAGACUGAGUGAGUAUUAAAACAUAUUAAAAAAGAAAAUUCAUUGAUGAAACUUCUACCAACACGGUGAUCUACAUUAACAUAGAUGAGGUCUUCAUAAUAUAACCCAUAAAAAUGUUUGAUAAAAGAUACACUUAAAACAUUUGUAAUAUAUAAUCAAGCUCAAAAUAAAGAGAAAUCUGUGUACCAGAUGAAAAGAGAAAAAUCAAAACUAAAGCAGUGAGCAAAGACUGUAACCAGACUGAAGCUUCUGCUGGGAUUCUAAUGCUUCCUUAGAGCAGGUGACAUGGCCUCAGUCCUGAGAAGAUACAGAAAAUGGAACUGACACUGCUGGAUAAAUGUUGGAUCUUGGAUGUACUGCCCUAUUUGUUAAAGGGGGACCAGAAAAACUCUGCCCUUGACUGGGAGAAAGAGUGAAAAUGUUUUUAUUUGUCCUGUGUUUUCAGUAGAAAAGAAGUCAUGUAUUAGAAAUUAUAACCUCAAGUUUGUACCACACUUAGAUAUGGGGUAUACAUUUGUAGUACUUCAUGGCUUGGGAACUCACAGCGGAGAACAUAACAUAAAAACAUAGUUGAAUCUUUGAAAUCUAUUGGGUUCUAGAAGAAACAAGUGUAAAACUAUUCUGUAAGAUACUUUCAUGACAAAAGAAUUCAAUAAUAAUAAUAAUAACUCCUUCUGGAGAUUAUCUCACAAUAAAAAAUAUAAAUGACACACAAAAUAAAUUAGCUGAGCAUCAGCAAAUACAACAAACAAGAUAAUUAAGACCUUGAGAAUUGCAGAUACUAAUCCAAAAAGAAUUAACAUAAGACUUUCAAAAUACUUAGAGUUAAAAAGGAAUAGGAACUAUUGUGAAAAAGGACACUAUGAAAAAGAGAAGGGGUUGAUUUUUGUUGUUUUUUUUUUUUUCAGAGACAGGGUCUAGCUCUGUUGCCCAGUGAUGGACAUGUUGCCCAGUGAUGGAUAGAGUGGACAGUAAUACUGUAUCACCCACCAUGGGGCAAUAGUGUGGGGGCAAUAGUGUGGUGCUUGGAGCCCUGAAGCUCUUGAAUGCUAAUGUUGAACCGCGAUUUGGGAUCCAGGCAACAGAGCCAUCUUGAAGCACAGCCAGUGAGGCCGGUAUUCUUCCUCUCCUAUUAAAGUGGGGCUCCCAGGUAGGUGUCUCAACACUGACCAGGCUGACAGUGGGG